CCGAAGUACAGGCCCCUUCGGGGGCUAAACUUCCACCCUUUGUUUAUCACACUUUGUUGCUUUGGCGAGACGCCCCUGGGCCACCGGCUUCGGCUGGUGAGCGCUCGCCGGAGAAAACCCAAACCCAAACCUUUUUUAGUGUUGUCUGAGAACUAUUUUAAUAAUUAAAACUUUCAACAACGGAUCUCUUGGCUCUGGCAUCGAUGAAGAACGCAGCGAAAUGCGAUAAGUAAUGUGAAUUGCAGAAUUCAGUGAAUCAUCGAAUCUUUGAACGCACAUUGCGCCCCUUGGUAUUCCGGGGGGCAUGCCUGUUCGAGCGUCAUUAUCACCCCUCAAGCUCAGCUUGGUGUUGGGGCCUGCCCGUCACAGGGCAGCCCCUAAAAGCAGUGGCGGUGCCAUCUGGCUCUACGCGUAGUAAUACUUCUCGCGACAGAGUCCCGGUGGUGUCCUGCCAGAACCCCAAAUUUUAUCACG
rnacentral:misc_RNA from 1 species